rnacentral:rRNA from 1 species
CCUACGGGUGGCAGCAGUGAGGAAUAUUGGUCAAUGGGCUUACGCCUGAACCAGCCAAGCCGCGUGAGGGAAGAAUGCCCUAUGGGUUGUAAACCUCUUUUGUCAGGGGGCAACGCCGGCUACGUGUAGCCGGAGUGAGAGUAACUGAAGAAAAAGCAUCGGCUAACUCCGUGCCAGCAGCCGCGGUAAUACGGAGGAUGCGAGCGUUAUCCGGAUUUAUUGGGUUUAAGGGGUGCGUAGGCGGAAUGCCAAGUCAGCGGUAAAAUCGCGGGGCUCAACCUCGCUCCGCCGUUGAAACUGGCGUUCUUGAGUGGGCGAGAAGUAUGCGGAAUUCGUGGUGUAGCGGUGAAAUGCGUAGAGAUCACGCGGAACACCGAUGGCGAAGGCAGCAUACCGGCGCCCAACUGACGCUGAGGCACGAAAGCGUGGGUAUCGAACAGGAUUAGAUACCCUUGUAGUC